GGGGGUGUGGCUCAAGUGGUAGAAUACCUACCUAGCAAGUAGAAGACUCUGAGUUGAAACCCCGGUACCUCUA
rnacentral:tRNA from 1 species